rnacentral:rRNA from 1 species
UGGGGAAUCUUGCGCAAUGGGCGAAAGCCUGACGCAGCGACGCCGCGUGAGUGAUGAAGGCCUUCGGGUUGUAAAGCUCUGUGGGGAGAGAAGAAUAAGUGCGGGCUAAUACCCCGCAUGAUGACGGUAUCUCCUUAGCAAGCACCGGCUAACUCUGUGCCAGCAGCCGCGGUAAGACAGAGGGUGCAAACGUUGUUCGGAAUUACUGGGCGUAAAGCGAGUGUAGGCGGUUUGGUAAGUCGGAUGUGAAAGCCCCGGGCUCAACCCGGGAAGUGCAUUCGAUACUGCCAAGCUAGAGUAUCGGAGAGGUUGGUGGAAUUCUCGGUGUAGAGGUGAAAUUCGUAGAUAUCGAGAGGAACACCGGUGGCGAAGGCGGCCAACUGGACGAAUACUGACGCUGAGACUCGAAAGCGUGGGGAGCAAACAGGAUUAGAUACCCUAGUAGUCCCUGAGGCGGCUGGCAAGGCGCAU